rnacentral:lncRNA from 1 species
ACACCCACACAGCGCUUCCUAAAGGCAGGGACAGGAGCUGGCCUCCCUCGCCUGCUGGCAUGGGGCUGGACACAGGAGGAAGUGGCGUGGGGGCUGCCUGAGGGGAGUGAGGCGGCAGGAUAGCUUCCCCAGCAGGUCUCUGGCUCAGGUCCAGGUAUCUCCUCCUCCCCAUACCUCUGCCUCUCGCCUCCGCUCAGAAAAGCAGGUGCCCUUAAGAGCCAUCUCCACCCCCAUGUAAACUGCACACAGGAAGGGAGAGGCCACUCCGACUGCUCUGAGGUCCAGCACCCCCGGCCACCCCAGGACUCCCGAAGAGGCUGCUAGGUCGGCCUGCCCAAAGAGCGGUGAGGAGCGUAUGUGAAGAGCCCCAGUCUUGAGGAGCAGCCUGUAUCUGGAGAGAGGGGAGCCCCGGACCAGAGGUGGGGGACAGGAAGCCAUCGCCCCACCCUGCCUCCUCCCCCACCACAGGUGGCCCUCGCCCCGGCCCACCCGCGCCUCCCAGGCCCAGCCUCACCUGCUGCCGAGAGAGGACAGUGAUCCCCCAAAAGCCGGAGGUGGAGGAGGAGGAGGAAGAGGAGGAAGGAGCUGGAGGAGCCGGGGACUCGCCCGCUGAAGAUGCUCUUGUCAAGACAAUGAAUGAGAAGCAGCCGUGCGCCCGCCUCCGGGGUGGCCGCGCCCCUUGGGGCGGAGCUCUUCCAGGCCCGCCCUGCGCUCCCGGGCUCCCGCUGCGGCCGCCUCUCUCCCCGGCCCCUGCCCGUGCACCACGUUGGUCCCCAACCAUAGCGCAGGCUGCCAUCCCGGCUCCGGGAAGCGAAUCUAAACUUCUUUUUAAAAUGUCAAAACGCAA